UUUACUAUAUGCCUUUGUCUGAUGAGCAAGUUGCAGAAAAAUUGAAGGCACAAGGGAAGAUUAUCAAGUAGUAGAAUUAGGCUAUAAUAUAUCCUAAGCUCAUCUUCGGUUUCUCAUGGAUCAGUCUUACACUAUAAGAUAAAUGGUAAGAGUAUCAUAUUAUUGCAUCUUUGCAGGUCUGCAGGUCUUGCACGUAGGAAGCUCUGGUUUGGUCGCUGGAGAAGCUGGUUCGAUGACAGAUGUCUUUUGCAAGUGUUACCUUGCCUCCGUGAUAGCUUUUUGAGCAAGGACAUUCUUAUAAAGCUCAUUGUGUUUCUUCACCGAAUCAGAUCCCCAGUUCUUGCGAGCUUAGAAUAUUUGCAUCUGUUGUAUUGUCAAGUGUUACCUUGGUUCCGUGAUAGCUUUUCGUGCAAGGACAUUCUUAUAAAGGUCAUUGUGUUUCUUCACCGAAUCAGAUCCCCAGUUCUUGCGAGCUUAGAAUAUUUGCAUCUGUUGUAUUGUCGAAUGGAAAACCUUGCCGAGUUAUCUCAGGAGCUAGAAUUACUGUGUAGUUCAGAGCAGAACCUUGGUUUCUGGCGUGUACUUUGUUAGAGUGCAGUCCUUUUGAUAUAAUUUGCUCAGAUGUUGAUGGAUUCUUCUUGCUAUUCACUAACUAGGCAUCUGAUUGCCUCUACUUGUCUACUUGUUAAACAUGACUUCUAUUGGUAGUCAGUAAAACAAUCAACAUGAGUUUGGUUUUAGUGGACUGAACUAUUAUUAGUCUUUUACUGUACUAAUAUCAGUUAUGAAUAUGCUAUGGGACUUUUCAAUCUAUUUUAUUUUUUAAUAAAUGCUACGCAGCUAUGGGCUUUUACUUAAUUUUUUUUUUUUUUGUAAAAGUAAAGAAGAGAACGGUAUAAAGCACCUGUAUCAAUUCAAGUAAUCUUAUAAAUUAUCAGUGCCAAUGAA
rnacentral:lncRNA from 1 species